GAGCGGAUGACGGGAGCUUGCUCCUUGAUUCAGCGGCGGACGGGUGAGUAAUGCCUAGGAAUCUGCCUGGUAGUGGGGGACAACGUUUCGAAAGGAACGCUAAUACCGCAUACGUCCUACGGGAGAAAGCAGGGGACCUUCGGGCCUUGCGCUAUCAGAUGAGCCUAGGUCGGAUUAGCUAGUUGGUGGGGUAAUGGCUCACCAAGGCGACGAUCCGUAACUGGUCUGAGAGGAUGAUCAGUCACACUGGAACUGAGACACGGUCCAGACUCCUACGGGAGGCAGCAGUGGGGAAUAUUGGACAAUGGGCGAAAGCCUGAUCCAGCCAUGCCGCGUGUGUGAAGAAGGUCUUCGGAUUGUAAAGCACUUUAACUUGGGAGGAAGGGCAGUAAGCUAAUACCUUGCUGUUUUGACGUUACCGACAGAAUGAGCACCGGCUAACUCUGUG
rnacentral:rRNA from 1 species